rnacentral:rRNA from 1 species
GCCGCGUGCGCGAAGAAGGCCUUCGGGUUGUAAAGCGCUUUUCGGGAGGAAGAGGAAGGACUGUACUCCCGGAAUAAGUCUCGGCUAACUACGUGCCAGCAGCCGCGGUAAUACGUAGGAGGCUAACGUUAUCCGGAUUUACUGGGCGUAAAGCGCGUGCAGGCGGUUCGUUAAGUUGGACGUGAAAGCUCCCGGCUCAACUGGGAGAGGUCGUUCAAUACUGGCGGACUUGAGGAUGGUAGAGGGAGGUGGAAUUCCGGGUGUAGUGGUGAAAUGCGCAGAUAUCCGGAGGAACACCAGUGGCGAAAGCGGCCUCCUGGACCAUUCCUGACGCUCAGACGCGAAAGCUAGGGUAGCAAACGGGAUUAGAGACCCCGGUAGUCCUAGCUGUAAACGAUGUGAACUUGGCGUCGGUGGGAUUAAAUCCAUCGGUGUCGAAGCUAACGCGAUAAGUUCACCGCCUGAGGACUACGGCCGCAAGGUUAAAACUCAAAGGAAUU